rnacentral:piRNA from 2 species
UGCAGAAUCAGUGGUAGGUGGGCCAGAAA